AUGUGGUUAAUCGAUGAUACGCGAGGAACCUUACCUGGGCUUAAAUGUAGAGUGCAUUUUUAGAGAUAGAAAUCCCUUCGGGGCUUUCUGCAAGGUGCUGCAUGGUUGUCGUCAGCUCGUGCCGUGAGGUGUCGGGUUAAGUCCCAUAACGAGCGCAACCCUUAUCGUUAGUUGCCAGCUGGUAAAGCAGGGGACUCUAGCGAAACUGCCACCGUAAGGUGAGAGGAAGGUGGGAUGACGUCAAAUCAGCACGGCCCUUAUGUCCAGGGCUACACACGUGUUACAAUGGCCGGCACAGAGGGCAGCUACCUGGUGACAGGAUGCUAAUCUCGAAAACCGGUCUCAGUUCGGAUCGAAGUCUGCAACUCGACUUCGUGAAGCUGGAUUCGCUAGUAAUCGCGCAUCAGCCAUGGCGCGGUGAAUACGUUCCCGGGCCUU
rnacentral:rRNA from 1 species